ACACUAUCAUUAACUGAAUCCAUAGGUUAAUGAGGCGAACCGGGGGAACUGAAACAUCUAAGUACCCCGAGGAAAAGAAAUCAACCGAGAUUCCCCCAGUAGCGGCGAGCGAACGGGGAGCAGCCCAGAGCCUGAAUCAGUGUGUGUGUUAGUGGAAGCGUCUGGAAAGGCGCGCGAUACAGGGUGACAGCCCCGUACACAAAAAUGCACAUGCUGUGAGCUCGAUGAGUAGGGCGGGACACGUGGUAUCCUGUCUGAAUAUGGGGGGACCAUCCUCCAAGGCUAAAUACUCCUGACUGACCGAUAGUGAACCAGUACCGUGAGGGAAAGGCGAAAAGAACCCCGGCGAGGGGAGUGAAAAAGAACCUGAAACCGUGUACGUACAAGCAGUGGGAGCCUCUUUAUGGGGUGACUGCGUACCUUUUGUAUAAUGGGUCAGCGACUUAUAUUCUGUAGCAAGGUUAACCGAAUAGGGGAGCCGAAGGGAAACCGAGUCUUAACUGGGCGUUAAGUUGCAGGGUAUAGACCCGAAACCCGGUGAUCUAGCCAUGGGCAGGUUGAAGGUUGGGUAACACUAACUGGAGGACCGAACCGACUAAUGUUGAAAAAUUAGCGGAUGACUUGUGGCUGGGGGUGAAAGGCCAAUCAAACCGGGAGAUAGCUGGUUCUCCCCGAAAGCUAUUUAGGUAGCGCCUCGUGAAUUCAUCUCCGGGGGUAGAGCACUGUUUCGGCAAGGGGGUCAUCCCGACUUACCAACCCGAUGCAAACUGCGAAUACCGGAGAAUGUUAUCACGGGAGACACACGGCGGGUGCUAACGUCCGUCGUGAAGAGGGAAACAACCCAGACCGCCAGCUAAGGUCCCAAAGUCAUGGUUAAGUGGGAAACGAUGUGGGAAGGCCCAGACAGCCAGGAUGUUGGCUUAGAAGCAGCCAUCAUUUAAAGAAAGCGUAAUAGCUCACUGGUCGAGUCGGCCUGCGCGGAAGAUGUAACGGGGCUAAACCAUGCACCGAAGCUGCGGCAGCGACGCUUAUGCGUUGUUGGGUAGGGGAGCGUUCUGUAAGCCUGUGAAGGUGUGCUGUGAGGCAUGCUGGAGGUAUCAGAAGUGCGAAUGCUGACAUAAGUAACGAUAAAGCGGGUGAAAAGCCCGCUCGCCGGAAGACCAAGGGUUCCUGUCCAACGUUAAUCGGGGCAGGGUGAGUCGACCCCUAAGGCGAGGCCGAAAGGCGUAGUCGAUGGGAAACAGGUUAAUAUUCCUGUACUUGGUGUUACUGCGAAGGGGGGACGGAGAAGGCUAUGUUGGCCGGGCGACGGUUGUCCCGGUUUAAGCGUGUAGGCUGGUUUUCCAGGCAAAUCCGGAAAAUCAAGGCUGAGGCGUGAUGACGAGGCACUACGGUGCUGAAGCAACAAAUGCCCUGCUUCCAGGAAAAGCCUCUAAGCAUCAGGUAACAUCAAAUCGUACCCCAAACCGACACAGGUGGUCAGGUAGAGAAUACCAAGGCGCUUGAGAGAACUCGGGUGAAGGAACUAGGCAAAAUGGUGCCGUAACUUCGGGAGAAGGCACGCUGAUAUGUAGGUGAGGUCCCUCGCGGAUGGAGCUGAAAUCAGUCGAAGAUACCAGCUGGCUGCAACUGUUUAUUAAAAACACAGCACUGUGCAAACACGAAAGUGGACGUAUACGGUGUGACGCCUGCCCGGUGCCGGAAGGUUAAUUGAUGGGGUUAGCGGUAACGCGAAGCUCUUGAUCGAAGCCCCGGUAAACGGCGGCCGUAACUAUAACGGUCCUAAGGUAGCGAAAUUCCUUGUCGGGUAAGUUCCGACCUGCACGAAUGGCGUAAUGAUGGCCAGGCUGUCUCCACCCGAGACUCAGUGAAAUUGAACUCGCUGUGAAGAUGCAGUGUACCCGCGGCAAGACGGAAAGACCCCGUGAACCUUUACUAUAGCUUGACACUGAACAUUGAGCCUUGAUGUGUAGGAUAGGUGGGAGGCUUUGAAGUGUGGACGCCAGUCUGCAUGGAGCCGACCUUGAAAUACCACCCUUUAAUGUUUGAUGUUCUAACGUUGACCCGUAAUCCGGGUUGCGGACAGUGUCUGGUGGGUAGUUUGACUGGGGCGGUCUCCUCCUAAAGAGUAACGGAGGAGCACGAAGGUUGGCUAAUCCUGGUCGGACAUCAGGAGGUUAGUGCAAUGGCAUAAGCCAGCUUGACUGCGAGCGUGACGGCGCGAGCAGGUGCGAAAGCAGGUCAUAGUGAUCCGGUGGUUCUGAAUGGAAGGGCCAUCGCUCAACGGAUAAAAGGUACUCCGGGGAUAACAGGCUGAUACCGCCCAAGAGUUCAUAUCGACGGCGGUGUUUGGCACCUCGAUGUCGGCUCAUCACAUCCUGGGGCUGAAGUAGGUCCCAAGGGUAUGGCUGUUCGCCAUUUAAAGUGGUACGCGAGCUGGGUUUAGAACGUCGUGAGACAGUUCGGUCCCUAUCUGCCGUGGGCGCUGGAGAACUGAGGGGGGCUGCUCCUAGUACGAGAGGACCGGAGUGGACGCAUCACUGGUGUUCGGGUUGUCAUGCCAAUGGCACUGCCCGGUAGCUAAAUGCGGAAGAGAUAAGUGCUGAAAGCAUCUAAGCACGAAACUUGCCCCGAGAUGAGUUCUCCCUGAC
rnacentral:rRNA from 1 species